CUUUGGCAGAUUAGUGCUUUAAAUUUAGAAUUUAAAUAAGUGUAUUUUUUACACAGGUAAUACAUU
rnacentral:tRNA from 2 species